GAUGAACGCUAGCGACAGGCCUAACACAUGCAAGUCGAGGGGCAGCAUGGUAUCAGCUUGCUGAUACCGAUGGCGACCGGCGCACGGGUGAGUAACGCGUAUGUAAUCUGCCUGUAACAGAGGGAUAACCCGGAGAAAUCCGGCCUAAUACCUCAUAGCACAUAUUAUUCGCAUGAGUUUUAUGUUAAAGAGACUCGGUUACAGAUGAACAUGCGUUCCAUUAGCUGGUUGGCGGGGUAACGGCCCACCAAGGCAACGAUGGAUAGGGGUUCUGAGAGGAAGGUCCCCCACACUGGUACUGAGACACGGACCAGACUCCUACGGGAGGCAGCAGUGAGGAAUAUUGGUCAAUGGGCGAGAGCCUGAACCAGCCAAGUCGCGUGGAGGAAGACUGCCCUACGGGUUGUAAACUCCUUUAUAAGGGGAUAAAGUUGGCCAUGUAUGGCCAUUUGCAGGUACCUUAUGAAUAAGCAUCGGCUAAUU
rnacentral:rRNA from 1 species